CUUGGCUUCAUCUGCAGAUCAAGUUCUCAGGUUCUUUUUUUGUUAAAAUGGAGGCUGGUCCCAAGUAGGUCUGGCCACUCAAGGUAGAGAAGCAGCUCUGGGUGAGGUAGGGGGUAAGCAUGGCCUGGGUCUUGAGAUCCCAGCUUCUGUUUGAUAAAGACCGAGACCCCUGGCUGUGGAGGAUCAGCGAGGGGGGAUGAAGGGUGUUCUUCAGGCAUGCAGGAGCCAUGGGAACACCUCAUGUCUGCAGGAACAAAGCAAGGUGGCAAUCGCCCAGGGUGCUCGCUCACUCUGCUGUCAGCCGCCCUCAGC
rnacentral:lncRNA from 1 species